rnacentral:tRNA from 1 species
GCCGGCGUAGCUCAGCGGUAGAGCACGUGAUUUGUAAUCUCGGGGUCGGGGGUCCAAAUCCCUCCGCCGGCUCAA